rnacentral:rRNA from 1 species
GGGUUGUGAGGUUAAGCGACUAAGCGUACACGGUGGAUGCCCUGGCAGUCAGAGGCGAUGAAGGACGUGCUAAUCUGCGAUAAGCGUCGGUAAGGUGAUAUGAACCGUUAUAACCGGCGAUUUCCGAAUGGGGAAACCCAGUGUGAUUCGUCACACUAUCAUUAACUGAAUCCAUAGGUUAAUGAGGCGAACCGGGGGAACUGAAACAUCUAAGUACCCCGAGGAAAAGAAAUCAACCGAGAUUCCCCCAGUAGCGGCGAGCGAACGGGGAGGAGCCCAGAGCCUGAAUCAGUGUGUGUGUUAGUGGAAGCGUCUGGAAAGGCGCGCGAUACAGGGUGACAGCCCCGUACACAAAAAUGCACAUAUUGUGAGCUCGAUGAGUAGGGCGGGACACGUGGUAUCCUGUCUGAAUAUGGGGGGACCAUCCUCCAAGGCUAAAUACUCCUGACUGACCGAUAGUGAACCAGUACCGUGAGGGAAAGGCGAAAAGAACCCCGGCGAGGGGAGUGAAAAAGAACCUGAAACCGUGUACGUACAAGCAGUGGGAGCACGCUUAGGCGUGUGACUGCGUACCUUUUGUAUAAUGGGUCAGCGACUUAUAUUCUGUAGCAAGGUUAACCGAAUAGGGGAGCCGAAGGGAAACCGAGUCUUAACUGGGCGUUAAGUUGCAGGGUAUAGACCCGAAACCCGGUGAUCUAGCCAUGGGCAGGUUGAAGGUUGGGUAACACUAACUGGAGGACCGAACCGACUAAUGUUGAAAAAUUAGCGGAUGACUUGUGGCUGGGGGUGAAAGGCCAAUCAAACCGGGAGAUAGCUGGUUCUCCCCGAAAGCUAUUUAGGUAGCGCCUCGUGAAUUCAUCUCCGGGGGUAGAGCACUGUUUCGGCAAGGGGGUCAUCCCGACUUACCAACCCGAUGCAAACUGCGAAUACCGGAGAAUGUUAUCACGGGAGACACACGGCGGGUGCUAACGUCCGUCGUGAAGAGGGAAACAACCCAGACCGCCAGCUAAGGUCCCAAAGUCAUGGUUAAGUGGGAAACGAUGUGGGAAGGCCCAGACAGCCAGGAUGUUGGCUUAGAAGCAGCCAUCAUUUAAAGAAAGCGUAAUAGCUCACUGGUCGAGUCGGCCUGCGCGGAAGAUGUAACGGGGCUAAACCAUGCACCGAAGCUGCGGCAGCGACACUAUGUGUUGUUGGGUAGGGGAGCGUUCUGUAAGCCUGUGAAGGUGUGCUGUGAGGCAUGCUGGAGGUAUCAGAAGUGCGAAUGCUGACAUAAGUAACGAUAAAGCGGGUGAAAAGCCCGCUCGCCGGAAGACCAAGGGUUCCUGUCCAACGUUAAUCGGGGCAGGGUGAGUCGACCCCUAAGGCGAGGCCGAAAGGCGUAGUCGAUGGGAAACAGGUUAAUAUUCCUGUACUUGGUGUUACUGCGAAGGGGGGACGGAGAAGGCUAUGUUGGCCGGGCGACGGUUGUCCCGGUUUAAGCGUGUAGGCUGGUUUUCCAGGCAAAUCCGGAAAAUCAAGGCUGAGGCGUGAUGACGAGGCACUACGGUGCUGAAGCAACAAAUGCCCUGCUUCCAGGAAAAGCCUCUAAGCAUCAGGUAACAUCAAAUCGUACCCCAAACCGACACAGGUGGUCAGGUAGAGAAUACCAAGGCGCUUGAGAGAACUCGGGUGAAGGAACUAGGCAAAAUGGUGCCGUAACUUCGGGAGAAGGCACGCUGAUAUGUAGGUGAGGUCCCUCGCGGAUGGAGCUGAAAUCAGUCGAAGAUACCAGCUGGCUGCAACUGUUUAUUAAAAACACAGCACUGUGCAAACACGAAAGUGGACGUAUACGGUGUGACGCCUGCCCGGUGCCGGAAGGUUAAUUGAUGGGGUUAGCGCAAGCGAAGCUCUUGAUCGAAGCCCCGGUAAACGGCGGCCGUAACUAUAACGGUCCUAAGGUAGCGAAAUUCCUUGUCGGGUAAGUUCCGACCUGCACGAAUGGCGUAAUGAUGGCCAGGCUGUCUCCACCCGAGACUCAGUGAAAUUGAACUCGCUGUGAAGAUGCAGUGUACCCGCGGCAAGACGGAAAGACCCCGUGAACCUUUACUAUAGCUUGACACUGAACAUUGAGCCUUGAUGUGUAGGAUAGGUGGGAGGCUUUGAAGUGUGGACGCCAGUCUGCAUGGAGCCGACCUUGAAAUACCACCCUUUAAUGUUUGAUGUUCUAACGUUGACCCGUAAUCCGGGUUGCGGACAGUGUCUGGUGGGUAGUUUGACUGGGGCGGUCUCCUCCUAAAGAGUAACGGAGGAGCACGAAGGUUGGCUAAUCCUGGUCGGACAUCAGGAGGUUAGUGCAAUGGCAUAAGCCAGCUUGACUGCGAGCGUGACGGCGCGAGCAGGUGCGAAAGCAGGUCAUAGUGAUCCGGUGGUUCUGAAUGGAAGGGCCAUCGCUCAACGGAUAAAAGGUACUCCGGGGAUAACAGGCUGAUACCGCCCAAGAGUUCAUAUCGACGGCGGUGUUUGGCACCUCGAUGUCGGCUCAUCACAUCCUGGGGCUGAAGUAGGUCCCAAGGGUAUGGCUGUUCGCCAUUUAAAGUGGUACGCGAGCUGGGUUUAGAACGUCGUGAGACAGUUCGGUCCCUAUCUGCCGUGGGCGCUGGAGAACUGAGGGGGGCUGCUCCUAGUACGAGAGGACCGGAGUGGACGCAUCACUGGUGUUCGGGUUGUCAUGCCAAUGGCACUGCCCGGUAGCUAAAUGCGGAAGAGAUAAGUGCUGAAAGCAUCUAAGCACGAAACUUGCCCCGAGAUGAGUUCUCCCUGACCCUUUAAGGGUCCUGAAGGAACGUUGAAGACGACGACGUUGAUAGGCCGGGUGUGUAAGCGCAGCGAUGCGUUGAGCUAACCGGUACUAAUGAACCGUGAGGCUUAACCUUACAACGCCGAAGCUGUU